rnacentral:rRNA from 1 species
GAUGAACGCUGGCGGCGUGCCUAACACAUGCAAGUCGAGCGAACGGACGAGAAGCUUGCUCCUCUGAUGUUAGCGGCGGACGGGAGAGUAACAUGUGGACAACCUACCUAUCAGACUGGGAUAAUUUCGGGAAACCGGAGCUAAUACCGGAUAAUAUUUUGAACCGCAUGGUUCAAAAGUGAAAGACGGUCUUGCUGUCACUUAUAGACGGAUCCGCGCUGCAUUAGUUAGUUGGUAAGGUAACGGCUUACCAAGGCAACGAUGCAUAACCGACCUGAGAGGGAGGUCGCCCACCCUGGAACUGAGACACGGUCCAGACUCCUACAGGAGGCAGCGGUAGGGAAUCUUCCGCGAUGGGCGAGAGCCUGACAGAGCAACGCCGCGUGAGUGAUGAAGGUCUUCGGAUCGUAGAACUCUGUUAUUAGGGAGGAACAAAUGUGUAAGUAACUGUGCACAUCUUGACGGUACCUAAUCAGAAAGCCACGGCUAACUACGUG